GACGAACCGAGCGAACGUUGUUCGGAAUAACUGGGCUUAAAGGGCGCGUAGGCGGGCCGCCAAGUUCGAGGUGAAAUCCUCCGGCUCAACCGGAGAACUGCCUCGAAUACUGGAGGCCUCGAGGCGGGUAGGGGCACGCGGAACUGUGGGUGGAGCGGUGAAAUGCGUUGAUAUCCACAGGAACUCCGGUGGCGAAGGCGGCGGGCUGGACCCGAUCUGACGCUGAGGCGCGAAAGCCAGGGGAGCAAACGGG
rnacentral:rRNA from 1 species